rnacentral:sRNA from 1 species
ACGUGCUUAGGAGCCAUAUUGUCGCUGGUGGCCGCUGGGGCUGGGAGGGGUGUGCUAGAGAGGCGCAGCUUCUCUGGGCGUGGUUUUUAUCCUGGGGGAAGGAUCGGUGGAAUGUGAGGGGAGGUGGAGGAGAUGGCGGCGACGGCCCGGGAAGAUGGCGCCGGCGGUCAAGAGCGAGGUCAGCGGGGCUGCGAGCACUAUGACAGAGGAUGUCUCCUAAAGGCACCUUGCUGUGACAAGCUUUAUACUUGCCGCUUGUGUCAUGAUAACAAUGAAGAUCAUCAACUAGAUCGCUUUAAAGUGAAGGAAGUGCAGUGCAUAAACUGUGAAAAAAUUCAACAUGCCCAACAGACUUGUGAAGAAUGUAGCACAUUGUUUGGAGAAUAUUAUUGCGAUAUAUGCCAUUUGUUUGACAAAGAUAAGAAGCAGUAUCACUGUGAAAACUGUGGAAUUUGUAGGAUUGGUCCAAAGGAAGAUUUUUUCCAUUGUUUGAAAUGUAACUUAUGCCUAGCUAUGAAUCUUCAAGGAAGACACAAGUGUAUUGAAAAUGUGUCUCGACAGAAUUGUCCAAUAUGUUUGGAGGACAUUCACACAUCCCGUGUUGUUGCUCAUGUCUUGCCAUGUGGACAUCUUUUACAUAGGUAAAGUAACAUCUUUUUCUCAAUGAUGUUUGAAAAUAGUGGAGACAGUUUUUGUUUUACUAAAAUAAUCUUAUAUUUUCUUUCAGAACGUGUUAUGAAGAAAUGUUGAAAGAGUGAGUGUUUGGGAUUUUAAAAAUAAUUGUAAGAUGUUUGAUUUUUUUGUGUGUGUGGUGUGGGGAGGUGGACAAACAUUGUUACUUAUACCAUAUUGGGCAUGGCAAUAUUUAUAUUGAAAUGGGUAGGGUAGAUGAAUAUUGUUAAAACAGGACAAAGUGUCUUGGAUAUAGAACUACACUUUUGCCAUAUGUUUCUCUUAAAUCUUGUCUCCUCCCACAAUUUGAGGUAGUUACCUCUUUUUUUUCUGGCCAUAUAUACCAGGAAGUGCAGUUUUUGCCAGAUGCAGUUAUAGUGUUGUAAAAAUGCUGAAAAAUAUUGCCAAAAAUUUGUUAGGUUGUUAUAUUGGCCAAGUAUAGUAAACUAAAAGAAAGUAGGUGAAGUGAUCAUUAAAGCUAAGACUUUAUUAAUGGAAAAGAUAUUAAAAUUAGAUGAAAAUAAUUGAAAAGAGAAGACUGUAUUUUGGUCCUACAUAUUGAUGAGCAAAAAUGUGAAGAGCUAGAGAGAGCAUUCUUUUUUUCAAAUUUUUAGAAAGGAAAUAAUAUCUGAAUAAUUUUAAACAAAUACAGUCUCUUUACAUGAGUGUAUUAAGAAAUUAAGGUUGUUUAGAUAAGGAGUAGCUUAAUUAGUUUAUAAAAAUAUAUGAAGUGUAUUCUACAAAGAAUAUGGACUAAUUCCUCUCCAUUUUAGAGUACUGAGGAAAAAGACUUAGUUUUAAAUAAGUAUACAGGAAUUAAUUUAAAAGUUUUAUAGUGUGAAAGUUCCCAGGUUCCUAAGAGAUUAUCUUGAAAUAGAGGAAAAUGCCUGUUUUGAAUGGUUCAUGUGGCAGUUAGCUUGCAUCUUCUUGUAUACCUGAAUUAAUAUAUUCUUUGUUUAAUAUUUGGAAAAUAACCUUUCUAUCUCUUUCAGAGGCUACAGAUGUCCAUUAUGUAUGCACUCUGCUUUAGAUAUGACCAGGUAUUGGAGACAGCUGGAUGAUGAAGUAGCACAGACUCCUAUGCCAUCAGAAUAUCAGAACAUGACUGUGGAUAUUCUCUGCAAUGACUGUAAUGGACGAUCCACUGUUCAGUUUCAUAUAUUAGGCAUGAAAUGUAAGAUUUGUGAAUCCUAUAAUACUGCUCAAGCUGGAGGACGUAGAAUUUCACUGGAUCAGCAAUGACGAGCCUACGCAGUACUGGAGAACUUGGCAUUUUCUGAUAUAGAAAAAGGCUUUCCUUGGUAUCGUGUUAUCAUGUGUUGUCAUCUAUGCAUUAGAGUUGAUGUGUUUUGUACUAGUGUCACAGCAUAAAAUCAUAGUGCAAGUACGUAAGGAUUCAGGGUCUCUUGAUAGACUUAUCAUAGCUCUAUAUUGAAUGAAAGCCACUGUGCUUGUGUUUUGAUUGGAAAUACCUUUAGUGUCAGUAUUUUGGAAGCCAAUGAUGUUUGCCACUGAUACAUUCAUAGAAGUGUAUUAUAUUUUCAUGAAACUUUGCUUUAAGUGACACUACGCACGCAGUUCAUUUCUAGUUCUUGAUAGAACUGCACUUAAUUUUCAGUAGUAGUCUUGACUUUUUAAGGGCUGUGUUAUAUUAAGUUCUCCCUUACUGUUAAAACCUAAUUAAAUAUGCUUUAGAAUUUUCUAAGACAGUCCUCUGGAUCCUCUAAAUGUGAAUUUUGAUGUAAUAACUGCUAAUAAAAUUAUAUUGAAAC